GGUAAUUCAAUUAUUCAAUACAUAAAUAACUGCACGUAGAAUCAAAUAUAAAGUAGCACCACGUAUCUUUUUGUUGGAUGAUAAAAGUAAACAUAUUAUUUCACAAAUGAACUGUUAAACCCGAGGGAGUGGAAGAGGAAGAAACCGAGACGGUGAGGUGCGUGAAACACCGAUGUUAACUCGUUACUUUUAAAACACAUAAAGCACAUAAAGCACAUGGCCCUCUUACAAAAAAGUUAUCAUGGUUAAUCAUAAUAAUACAUCUCAAUCAAACAGUGUAAAGCUUUCAGAAUCUUUCUGUCAUUUCAGUGUCAGUGGUGGCUUACAUGAUACCAAAAUACCACAGUUUUUUUGUUUUUUGUAAUGAUUGUUUGAAUGUUUUACAUGUUUUUGAAGUUAAAAUUUGUAUUAAUGUAGCCUAUAAGGUGAAGUCGUGUAACUGGUCACAAUUUCCUUCGAGCCCUUUACCAUUUCAACACCUUUUUGUCUUCAAUAGUUCAUUUUAAAGGGUCCUGUGGUGUGAUAAAAUUACAACUUUUCCACAUAGUCUCUCAGUUAAUGAGGCCAUAAAAGCUGCAUGCAUGAUAAUUAUAAAAUAAUGAGCAAAAGGCUGUUUAAAAUAGUUUUACGUUUAGCCUAGUAUAAAGACGUCAACUUCCAUUUCAAAAAUGUUAAUAUUUUGAAAGGGUCUGUACACUUUGUUAUGAGUAUGUUGUAUUUAUGUUUUUGUCUUCCAGAGCAGAGAUGUGCACCUGUCCAUAUCUUUGUCUUAUGCAUUACACCACGGUGCCAGUAAGAUGGGUCUAUAUAUGAACUCAGAUGGCUUUGUAUUUGUGCAAGAACUUCUCGCUCAUCAGCAGUUCUGCUCAUUUUCAUUGAAUGAUGUGGAAAGAGUUGUGGCCACCAAUGAUAAGCAGCGAUUCAAGCUUCGCUGAUGAUGGGCGUCUCCAGAUAUAAGCCAAUCAUGGUCACUCAAUGCAGGUGGUAGAUCUGGAGUUGAGAGCAGUAACAUAUGAUGAUUCAAAUUGUCCAAGAGUAGCUGUUCAUGGCUCAUACAUGAAACACUGGCCAUCUAUAAGCAGCCAGGGCCUCAGCUGAAAGAGCAGGAUUCACAUACACCUGGAGUCAUCAGUGGUAUGAGGCAGGGAUGUGACCUGGCUUUGUACAUCGAUGUCCCAAAAGCUAUGUCAGCUUGUGAAAUUGAGCUACUGUACAUUAGCUGUUGGAGAGGAUUUCUUUCUGACUUUACCACUAAAACCUGGAGACAUGUUGAUCUGCUGAACUUGAAGACAUGAUGAAACUCACUGGGAUCUACUGGGAGUGGUUCUUUACUCAAACAUUUGGUAACAUUAUAGUGUAAGGCUUAUUUCAAAAGAAGAAAUAUCUGAAUUAAAUCCACAAAGAAUGUCCAAAACACGUUUACUUUUAUGAAACGAAGGCUGCAUUAGCCACUGUCACAGGUGAAACCCAUUAAAUUGCAGGAUUACAUUUUCCAGUGUAUCUACAGGAUCACAUCUGCAACACAACACCAAAAAAAAAAAAAAAAAAAAAAAAAUGCAUUUAAAAGACAUGAUCUCAUCCGCUCGGAUGGAGAAAAACUUUUUCAUUUUGGCAUUUAUUGAAUUGAAUAAACUGUAAAAGAAAGUCUGUAAAAGAUAUUUGAUACAUGGGAAGCCAUGCAUAAUGGACUUGACAAUUAACAUGGGAAUGAUGCAAUUGCUAUAACAGAAGUAAUUUGUUUACAAUACUUUAUUACAGUAUAUGUGAAUUUUCUGUUAGACUGUUUGUGUCUUGUCAUCUCAAACAGGUACAACAUUUUAGCUUUAGAAUUUUCUGAACAACAUAUCUUUAAGGGAUGUUUAAGGGAUGAUUAUGGAGUCAGUAACUUAUUUGAAAGGUUGCCUGGUAUUUUGUGUACAAAUUGUCAAGUGACCUACUAAGCCUGUUUUAUUUGUAGGGCAGUUCCUGCCCACUGCAUAUUUGUCAAAAAAUAGAGUAUCUAAAUUCACUUGAGACCUCAAGAUAGAGAUGUCUAUGUCUCAUGUAUCUGGUGGGGGAUUUCCAGCAAGCAUUUAUGUACAGUGUACUAGAUGGGGACAAAUAGCAUGUUAAGGUCUUAUCAUUGUUUUUAUUGCAAAUGAAAACUGAAUUAAAAACAC